rnacentral:rRNA from 1 species
GACGAACGCUGGCGGCGUGCUUAACACAUGCAAGUCGAACGGAAAGGCCCUGCUCUUGUUGGGUGCUCGAGUGGCGAACGGGUGUGUAACACGUGAGUAACCUGCCCUUGACUUUGGGAUAACUCCAGGAAACUGGGGCUAAUACCGGAUAGGAGCUCCUGCUGCAGGGUGGGGGAUGGAAAGUUUCGGCGGUUGGGGAUGGACUCGCGGCUUAUCAGCUUGUUGGUGGGGUAGUUGCUUACCAAGGCUUCGACGGGUAGCCGGCCUGGGAGGGUGACCGGGGACAAUGGGACUGAGAGAGGGCCCAGACGGCAACGGGAGGCAACAGGGGGGAAUAUUGCACAGUGGGGGGAAGCGUGAGACGGCGGCGCCGCGUGCGGGAUGACGGCCUUCGGGUUGUGAACCGCUUUCGCCUGAGACGAAGCGGGAGUGACGGUAAUGGGUAAAGAAGCACCGGCUAACUACGUG